rnacentral:lncRNA from 1 species
GGUACAGUAGAGGAGUGGUAGAGGGAGAGAUGAAUGAGGAGAAGGAGGUACAAUAGAGGAGUGGUAGAGGGAGAGAUGAAUGAGGAGAAUGAGGUAGAGGAGUGGUAGAGGGAGAGAUGAAUGAGGAGAAGGAGGUACAGUAGGGGAGUGGUAGAGGGAGAGAUGAAUGACUAGAAGGAGGUACAGUAGAGGAGUGGUAGAGGGAGAGAUGAAUGAGGAGAAGGAGGUACAGUAGAGGAGUGGUAGAGGGAGAGAUGAAUGAGGAGAAUUAGGUAGAGGAGUGGUAGAGGGAGAGAUGAAUGAGGAGAAGGAGGUACAGUAGAGGAUUGGUAGAAGGAGAGAUGAAUGAGGAGAAGGAGGUAGAGGAGUGGUAGAGGGAGAGAUGAAUGAGAAGAAGGAGGAAGAGGGGUGGUAGAGGGAGAGAUGAAGGAGGAGAAGGAGGUAGAAGAGUGGUAGAAGGAGAGAUGAAAGAGGAGAAGGAGGUACAGUAGAGGAGUGGUAGAGGGAGAGAUGAUGAGAAGGUGGUACAGUAGAGGAGUGGUAGAGGGAGAGAUGAA